ACUAAAACCCAACUGGAAAGAGGAGGAAACACUGACGCUCGUGGAGUUAGUUGAAGAGAGAAGACAUGUUAUAAAAGGCAAGUUCAGUCCAACCUUGACAAGUGCCGAAAAGAAAAAAGCAUGGGAAGACAUCUCCAGACUUUUAACUGCGUCUCAUGUCACCAGCAUUCGCUCACCAUCUGACUGUGAGAAAAAGUGGUACAAUAUCCUCUCCAAAAGCCGCACUGAAAUAUCCACCUUUAAGUCCAACAUUACACACACUGGCGGGGGACCCCCAGGCAAGCCACUGAGUGCAGUUUCCGAAGUGGUGCAGCGCAUUCUUGGGGAGAACAGUGCUGUGAUCUCAGGAGUGGAGGGAAGUCAGGAUCCUGCAUUAAUGAAACUGGAAAUGCUAUCACAAAAGCAAGUAUUGAUGAAGACGCAGGGAGGGCUCCCAAACCCCACUGGCUUGAGUUUGGACCCAGAUUCUCCGUGAGCCCCUAUUGUGUCUGAUAUGCUCCCAAGCACCUCAAGUCAGGACUGCCCGGCAGGGGACUGCAGGGUGUCGGACGAAGGCCUGGCAGAGGAGGACCCGCUCCCAAAUGACCUGCAAGCACUGAAGAGGGAGAAGAUAAAGCUCCAAAUUAAAGUAUUGAGACUGCAGCAUGAAUAUUAUACUCUGGCACUAAAAAAAAAAAAAAAGAAAAGAGUGAAAAAUAAA